rnacentral:misc_RNA from 1 species
GAUGAAGAACGUAGCGAAAUGCGAUAAGUAAUGUGAAUUGCAGAAUUCAGUGAAUCAUCGAAUCUUUGAGCGCACAUUGCGCCCGCCAGUAUUCUGGCGGGCAUGCCUGUUCGAGCGUCAUUUCAACCAUCAAGCCCCCGGCUUGUGUUGGGGACCUGCGGCUGCCGCAGGCCCUGAAAAGCAGUGGCGGGCUCGCUGUCACACCGAGCGUAGUAGCAUACAUCUCGCUCUGGGCGUGCUGCGGGUUCCGGCCGUUAAACCACCUUCAUAACCCAAGGUUGACCUCGGAUCAGGUAGGAAGACCCGCUGAACUUAAGCAUAUCAAUAAGCGGAGGA